rnacentral:rRNA from 1 species
ACGCUCGACACCUACGGGGGCAGCAGUGGGGAAUAUUGCACAAUGGGGGAAACCCCGAUGCAGCGAUGCCGCGUGAAGGAAGAAGUAUCUCGGUAUGUAAACUUCUAUCAGCAGGGAAGAAAAUGACGGUACCUGACUAAGAAGCCCCGGCUAACUACGUGCAGCAGCCGCGGUAAUCUGAGCGGGCUGGCAAGGC